AUGGCGGAGCUGGUGGCCACAAUGGUGGUCGGGCCCCUGCUGUCCAUUGUACAGGACAAGGUAUCCAGCUACAUCCUGGACAAGUACAAUGUGAUGGAGGGCAUGGAGGAGCAGCACAGGGUGCUCAAGCGCAAGCUGCCGGCCAUCCUGGACGUCAUCGACGACGCCGAGCAGGUGGCGUCCAAGAGAGCCGGGGUCAAGGCUUGGCUCGAGGAGGUCAAGAGGGUGGCCUACGACGCGAAUGAGGUCUUCGACGAUUUCAAUUACGAGGCGCUCCGUCGCGAGGCCAAGGAGAACGGGCACUACGGCGAGCUCGGCUUCAAUGCAGUAAAGCUCUUUCCCACCCACAACCGUUACGCGUUCCGCGACAAGAUGGGGAAGAAGCUAUGCAGGAUUGUGCAGGACAUUGAGGUCCUGGUGGCUGAGAUGAAUGCCUUUGGAUUUAAAUAUCAGCAACAAGUGCCGGCAUCCAUGCAGUGGAGGCAGACUGAUCAUGUUAUCUUCGAUCCAAAGAAAAUCAUUAGCAGAUCGAGAGACCAAGAUACUAAGGAUAUUGUUGGCGUGCUUCUUGGUCAUGCUAGCAACAAAAAUCUCAUGGUCCUUCCCAUCGUUAGUGUAGGGGGGCUAGGCAAGACCACCUUUGCGCAGCUCAUUUACAAUGAAUCUGAAAUUCAGAAGCAUUUCGAGUUGAUGAUCUGGGUUUGUGUCUCUGACAACUUUGAUGUGGAUUCCCUAGCUAACAGUAUUGUUGAAGCAGCAACUCCCAACAAAAGUACAGUUGACGCAGCAACUUCCAACAGUAGUACAGCUGAAGCAACUUCCAAAAAAAGGCCACUGGAUAGGCUCCAAGAAGCACUAAGCGGGCGUAGAUACCUCCUUGUAUUGGAUGACGUCUGGAACCGAGAGUAUGAUAAGUGGGAAAAGCUCAAGCGCCACCUUAUACAUGAUGCAAAGGGUUGUGUGGUUUUGACAACUACUCGUGAUGAAGGAGUUGCAAAAAUAAUGGGUACAGUUAAAGCCUAUAAUCUCGCAGCUUUGAAGGAUAACUUCAUACAUGAAAUUAUUGAGACAAGAGCAUUCAGUUUGCAGAAUGAAGAAGAAAGGCCUGUCGUGCUUGUUAAUAUGGUUGGUGAGAUUGUGAAGAGAUGUCGUGGUUCUCCUUUGGCCGCAACAGCACUCGGCUCUGUGUUGCGUGCAAAGACAAGCGAAGAGGAGUGGAAGGAUAUAUCACUCAGAAGCAACAUUUGCACUGAGGACUCUGGCAUUUUACCAACACUCAAGCUCAGCUACAAUGAAUUAUCAUCGCAGAUGAAGCGGUGUUUUGCUUUUUGUGCUGUGUUUCCCAAGGAUUAUGAGAUUGAUGUGGACAAGCUGAUCCAACUAUGGAUCGCGCAUGGCUUUAUCGAGGACCAAAAAGAAGUUCGUGCUGAAACCAUUGGCAAGCGGAUUUUCAGUGAGCUGGCCUCAAGGUCAUUCUUUGUGGAUGUGAAGCAAGUCCGAGUUUCAUUUAACGAGCGCCGGCGGUGGCAUAAUUAUUCCAAAAAUACAUGUAAAGUCCACGAUCUGAUGCAUGAUGUUGCACUAUCUACAAUGGAAAAAGAAUGUGCUCUCACACCCAAGGAACCAAGUCGGAUUGAGUGGCUUCCAGAAACAGCUCGGCACUUACUUUUGCCUUAUGAAAAUCCAGAUAUUAUUUUGAAUGAUUCUCUCGCGAGAAGAUCUCCGGCUAUCCAGACACUUCUGUGUGAUGUUUAUAUGGAUCAUCCGUUGCAACAUUUAUCAAAAUACAGCUCUUUGAAGGCAUUACAACUCCGUACAUGGAGUAGGUCAUUCCCCUUGAAAUCAAAGCAUCUGCAUCACCUAAGGUAUCUUGUUCUUUCAGGAAGUUGUAUUGAAGCACUUCCUGAAGAUGUAAGCAUUCUAUACAACCUGCAAACAUUAAACGUCUCUGGCUGCCGCAGACUUUGUCGGCUCCCAAGGCAAACGAAGUAUAUGAAUGCCCUUCGUCACCUCUACACUCAUGGUUGUCCAAAGAUGAGGAGCAUGCCUGGUGACCUCCGAAAACUCAUGUCACUACAAACACUUACAUGUUUUGUAGCAGGUCCUACUGGCUCUGAGUCUGAGUGCAGUGGUGUUGGAGAGUUGCAACAGUUAAACCUUGGUGGUGAGCUACAGCUGCAUCAACUAGAGAAUGUGACAGAAGAAGAUGCAAAAGCAGCAAAUCUCAAAAACAAGAAGGAACUUCAAGAAAUGUCACUAAAAUGGACCGUUGGUGGUAGGGAUGAUGCAAGAGUGCUCGAGGGUCUCAAACCUCAUGAUGAGCUGCAGGCUAUAAAGAUAGAAUCCUAUGGAGGCACCACCUUUCCAACAUGGAUGGCUAUCUUGCUAAAGAUGGUUGAGAUCCAUCUUUCCGGUUGUAAAAAACUUCAAUGGUUAUUCAGUUGUGGUACAUCCUUCACUUUUCCAAAUCUGAAGGUGUUUACCCUACAAGAUCUGGAAUGUUUGGAACGUUUGUGUGAAAUAACAGAUAAGGAACAAGAUGAAGAGAUAAUAUUUCCUCGCCUUGAGAAGCUGUGUGUUAUAGGUUGUCCAAAGCUGACAAUGAAAGCUAAAGCACCAAAGCUGACUGGGUUAGACUUCGAGGGAGUUGAGGAAGAGAUAUUCCUGUGGGUAGCUAGAUAUAUGACUUCAUUGACAACUUUGAAUCUGCAGAAUCGUAAAGACACAGAAACAACUUCGGUGGCAAUGGCGGAAGUGUCUGAUCUUAGUUUGGCACAAAUGGUGGAGGUCAAGGAAAGAUGGAACCAUCAUGAUUUCCCUUUUGCAAAGUUGAGCUUAAAUGGCUUAAAGUUAGGUGUGACCGAGCUAUGUGCAUGUUUUGUGCGGCUUCAAUGGUUGGACAUCAAUGAUUGUGAUGCGCUUGUCCAUUGGCCAGAGAAAGAGUUCCAAAGCUUGGUAUCCUUGAGGAAUCUGGAGAUUGCAGACUGCAAACAACUGGUUGGGUACGCACAAGCUCCUGCAGCUGAGCCAUCAACAGCAUCCUCAAGUCAGCUCCUGCCACGUCUUGAGUUUGUCCGGAUAAGUGGUUGUGAGAGCAUGGUAGAGGUCUUCAAACUCCCUGCAUCCUUGAGGAAAAUGGAAGUUGAUGAUUGCACUAAGCUCAAGUCCAUGUUCAGCAGGAGUCUGCAGCAGGGACAAUCAGCAUCAUCGAUUCUUCAAGGGUCACCUGUACAUUCUUCAAGGGUGGAACAGUUUCCCUUUCCAUGUUUAGAAGAGAUAUUCAUAUCUGCUUGUGACAGCUUAACAGGGGUCCUCCAUCUUCCCCCAUCCCUCAAGAAAAUUACAGUUUAUGACUGCUGCGAGUUGAGAUCAGCGGAAUCUCACUCGGGAGAGUUCCCAUCAUUGGAGAGCCUCGAGAUUGGAAAUUGCGAAACCCUGUCAUCCCUACCGGAUGGGUCGCAAUCAUACUCAUCUCUUGAGUGUCUUACAAUUGAAAACUGUCCUGGUAUAAAGAGGCUCCCAACAUGCCUGCAGCACGUCUAA
rnacentral:rRNA from 1 species